rnacentral:rRNA from 1 species
AGAGUUUGAUCAUGGCUCAGAUUGAACGCUGGCGGCAUGCCUAACACAUGCAAGUCGAACGGUAACAGGGGCUUCGGCCCGCUGACGAGUGGCGGACGGGUGAGUAAUACGUAGGAAUCUGCCCAUUAGUGGGGGACAACCCGGGGAAACCCGGGCUAAUACCGCAUACGCCCUACGGGGGAAAGCGGGGGAUCGUAAGACCUCGCGCUAAUGGAUGAGCCUACGUCGGAUUAGCUAGUUGGUAGGGUAAAGGCCUACCAAGGCGACGAUCCGUAGCUGUUCUGAGAGGAAGAUCAGCCACACUGGGACUGAGACACGGCCCAGACUCCUACGGGAGGCAGCAGUGGGGAAUCUUGGACAAUGGGGGAAACCCUGAUCCAGCAAUGCCGCGUGUGUGAAGAAGGCCUUCGGGUUGUAAAGCACUUUCGAUUGGGAAGAAAAGCUUGGCGCUAAUCAGCCAAGUCUUGACGUUACCAAGUGAAGAAGCACCGGCUAACUCUGUGCCAGCAGCCGCGGUAAUACAGAGGGUGCAAGCGUUAAUCGGAGUUACUGGGCGUAAAGGGCGCGUAGGCGGUUCGAUAAGUCGGGUGUGAAAGCCCCGGGCUUAACCUGGGAAUUGCAUUCGAUACUGUCGGGCUAGAGUAUGGUAGAGGAAAGCGGAAUUCCACAUGUAGCGGUGAAAUGCGUAGAUAUGUGGAGGAACAUCAGUGGCGAAGGCGGCUUUCUGGACUAAUACUGACGCUGAGGCGCGAAAGCGUGGGGAGCAAACAGGAUUAGAUACCCUAGUAGUCC